GUUGGAGAAUGGGCAAAUACAGGGUCCGAAAUGAACAGGAAAUCUUCAAGCCAGGUUGAUCUUCUUCGAAUUGAGACACUGUAUCAUGCAGAUAAGGAGAAAACAGAAGCAUAUAUUCUUGAAUUAGUGGUGUGGCUCCAUUAUCUUGUCAGUCAGUCGAAACGUGCUAAUGCUGGAGUGAGAUCUCCAGUAAAAUCUCCAAUCUGUUCCCCUAAUCAAAAGACGAUUGAGUUGUCUAAUCACCAAUCAAGCUCUCCAUCAUCCCCAUUAUCGGUUGAAGACCAAGAAAUGCUCCGCGAUGUAAGCAAGAGAAAACUCACUCCAGGGAUUAGCAAGUCUCAAGAAUUUGCAAAAACAGGGUUGAGCAAGUACAACAGGCUGAGUAAGAGCAAUAGCCAUUCACCUAUAAAUGAAACCAGAAAGAACCCGUUCCCUAUCAAGAGACCGUCUUCUGUUCCAGUGUUUGACUUUGACACUGAUCGCUUGAAAGCUUUGGAUGUCAUCGACAGGGUGGACACAGUUAGAGGUGCAUAAUUGGUACAACACUAGGCUGCAUUGCCAUGUUCAUAGUGUGAUAGUAUGUUUAUUUACUGCAUUGGCAAAACGUAAAUAGAGAGCACAAGUUUUAGUUAGCUGUACAUUGGCUAUAUUAUGAUGGCCUACAAAUGCUUCCCUUGUGUUAUGUCCUGUUUGUGUCUGGGAACUGGAUUGUCCCUAACGCGAACUAGAUCAGAUAUCUGUUUGCAAUUCAGGGUUUCGCGAUGAGUGGAAGUGAUCUUUCUUCUCAUUUUUGUUUUCUCAGAGGGAAAUUAGGGUUCGGAACCGGAACAACCAUGGUGGAUAAGUGGAUGGCACAAGGAGAUGGAGUAGAGUCCCUUCUUCUUUUUAGGUGGAGACAAAGUGUCUUAGAGCUCUAUUGUAAUGUUUGAAAUAACUAGGAAAAAGUUGAUGUUUUUCUCAUUAUCAACCUUUAUACAAUUAUAUCAAAUAGAGCAAAGAAUUACAAACAGGAA
rnacentral:misc_RNA from 1 species